rnacentral:tRNA from 1 species
CUUUUUUGGGGAUAGAGGGACUUGAACCCUCACGAUUUUUAAAGUCGACG